AGAAAAAAAUUACAAAUAUAUAAAAUCUUUUUUUUAUACAAUUGGUAUAACACAAAAUACCAUUAUAAGGAAAAUUAUAAAAUACAACUGCAAAAAGCAUGAAAUCAUCAUCCACAUUUAUAAUACCCAGAGAUAGCUAACUGUUAAAAUACUAGUAUAUAUCCUUCCAGACUUUUUCUUUGAGAAAUUUCAUCCCUGAAAUAUUUACUAGGUACCUACUAUAGGCCAAGCACUGUUUUUGGUGCUGGCGGAUGUCAAUGAAAUGAACAGAAGAGCAAAGUCACUGCUGCGUGCCGCUCUCAUUUGCUUAAGUUCUACUGGGAGAGGCACACAAAAGAAGGAAUAAUAAUAAAGCUGAUGGUGGUACAGGCUCUGGAGAAAAAGCAGGCAGAAGGAGGGAGAUGGAGAGUGCAGGGGGCAGUGGUGGUGGAAAACUCAACCAGGUGAAGUGUGUGUGAGCAGUGAGGGAAACCUAGGGGGAGUUUCCAGGCAGACGGAGCCACAGGGGCAAAGCCCUGGCAGGCCUGGAGUGUUCAGGGAAUGGUAAAGAAGCCCAAGUGACCAGAAAGCAGGAAGGAGUGGCAAGAGAUGAGUCAGUGAGGUAGCCUUGAGGCCACACUAUAAGGACUUUGGCUUCUGCUCUGAGAGGACCUAUUCAUUCAUUGAAAAUUUACUGAGCAUUCUCAUUUAGCAAAUGAGAGAAUGCACCAAGGAACACAAAUCUGUACUCUUAUGAAGCUUGCAUUUUAGAGGGAAAAGACCAUGAACUAGCAAAUGCAAAGGCAGAAGGUCAGAUGGUAGUAUGUGGUCUGGAGAAAAUUAGGGGAGGGACAUAGUGGGGACAAGUUCAGGUCUCAUUGAGAAAGUGAUAUUUGAGCAGGGACCUGAAAGGAGUGAAAAAAUGAAUAAUGUUCCACAGGGAAGAAGAGUCCAGGCACUGGACCAGAGUACACUGGUCCAGAGGUAGAAAAAUCUGGAGGAAUGGCAAGGAGGCCAAUGUGCCUGGAGUACAAUGAGUUGCAGAGGCAGCAGGGGCCUCUACAGCCAUGGUAAGGACUCUGGCCGGUAUUCUGAGUGAGCUGGGGAACCACUGGAAGAUUCUGAACAGAGCAGUGACCUGAUCAAGCUUAUAUUUUAAAAGACUCAGGCUGCUGUGUUGAGAACAGACUGACAUGGGGCACAGAAGCAGAAAGGUGAGUUAGAAGCUGUUCUAGUCAUCCAGGCCAGAGACAGAGGAGGCCUGAACCCAACUGACAGAGGAUGGAGGGUAAGGAGUGUUUGGAUUCUGGGUGUAUUCUGAAGGUAAAAGUGUUUUGGUGUACGGUGGGCUGUAGAGAAAGAGCAAGGUCAAGUGUGACUUUUGGCCUGAGUAACUGGGAGGACAGGCUUGGAGGGUAAAAUUAGGAAUCCUGUUUUGGAGUGUUAAUUUUGAGAUGCUUAGCCCAACACAGAUGGACUUGUUGAGUGACUGGCUGAAUAACCAAGUUAAGAAUUUAGGGAAGAGGCCGGCCUGGAGAUAGAAAUUUGGGAAUCCAGUAAUAGAUCGUUCAAACCACAAACUGACAAGCUCACCUAGAGAGCUCUGAGUGUGGAUAGAAAAGAUGUCCAAGAAGCUGGAUGCUGGUCCGUGGGCCCUCCAGCAUUCAGAGGCAGGGAGAUGAAGUGGGGGAGAGGCCAAUGAGGGGAGAAAAACCAAGACAGGGUGUUUCAGGAAGCCAAAAGAGUGUGUCAAGAAGGAACCAACUGUGCCCAGUAUUGCUGACGUGCCUAGAAAUGGGAUUGUAUUGUUUUGUAGCCACUUUUUUUCUUAUGCUACAUAUAAAUAUGAACAUCUUAAUAGAUAUAUUAGUAUAAAAUUUUAAUAGAUACAUGGUUGGGUUUUUAUUUGCCAUUAUAAGCAGCGCAGCAACCGUGUAGCCAUCUCUUUAAGCACAUCCCUAACAAUUUUCUUAGGAUUAAUUCCUACCCAUGGAAUUGCUUGAUCAAAAGUAUGCAUGACUUUAGGGCUUUUGUAUGUUACCAAAUUGCUUUUACUCAGCAACCAACAGUACAAUAGAGUGCCCACUUCUUUGCUGAAAUAGUGGCUAUGUAACUAAUUUUUUUUUUUGCCAAUUUUAUAGGUGGAAACUGAACUUAUAUUUGACUACUAAGUUUGAACAUAUUCUUAUCUUAAAUGAUUUAAACUGUCCUCUUUGGCCACAUCCCGACCUACUCGUAACCAAAGACAGCCUGAUUUGGAGUCCUUGAUCUGUGAUGAUGACAACCUUAACCCCUGAAAAACACAGCACUUACAACUUGUCAAGAAUCCGCAGAUGAUAAGAGAACAAAGAAAUGUGCUCUGUGAGGAAACUAAAGGCCUGCGCGUGCAGCAGAGAGCUGUAGCCAGUGCCAGUCAGUCGGGAGAUUGCUUUUUUUACGUACAGCUCAGCCAGCGGUGCCCCUGAGCACCCCUAUAUCUGCACUACCCUGUCUCCUUUGUGUAGACCUGGGCUCCCUCCUGCAUUUGUGAAUUCUAUUCAAAAUGCAUGUUUUUAGGAUGUAUAUGCCUAGUUAAAAUAUGUUUUUCAAACAUAUACUUUAAGCAAAACCACUCAGGAUGGUGUAGGCCUUGCCAUACUUUGUUACCUGGAAUGCUAUCCGGCGCUGGUCAUUUAAGUCAAUAAGGAAAGAUCUACUGACAUCAGGUUGCAUGGAAGAUAGUGCUGUAUGUAUUACGGAUAUAUACACACAAAGAAAAGAAAUAACUGUUCCCUAUGGAGUUUACUUUAGU